rnacentral:rRNA from 1 species
CCCUUAGAUGUUCUGGGCCGCACGCGUGCUACACUGAGUGGAUCAGCGGGUCAGGUUGCGCGAAAGUGUUUCCUAAUCUUGAAAUCCGCUCGUGAUGGGGAUUGACGGUUGCAAUUUUCCGUCAUGAACGAGGAAUACCUUGUAAGCGCGGGUCAUCAUCCCGCGCUGAAUACGUCCCUGCCCUUUGUACACACCGCCCGUCGCUCCUACCGAUUGAGUGGUCCGGUGAGGCUUUGGGAUCUGAGCAAAGAGAGCGUUUCGCUGUUUCUGCCCGGAAAACUCAGUCGAACCUUAUCAUUUAGAGGAAGGAGAAGUCGUAACA